rnacentral:rRNA from 1 species
GCCCGCGGCCCAUCAGCUAGUUGGCGGGGUAACGGCCCACCAAGGCAACGACGGGUAGCUGGUCUGAGAGGACGAUCAGCCACACUGGAACUGAGACACGGUCCAGACUCCUACGGGAGGCAGCAGUGGGGAAUUUUCCACAAUGGGCGAAAGCCUGAUGGAGCAACGCCGCGUGUGUGAUGAAGGUUUUCGGAUCGUAAAGCACUUUCGACCGGGACGAAAAACCUCUGGCUAACAUCCAGGGGCCUGACGGUACCGGGAGAAGAAGCACCGGCUAACUCUGUGCCAGCAGCCGCGGUAAUACAGAGGGUGCAAGCGUUGUUCGGAAUUAUUGGGCGUAAAGCGCGUGUAGGCGGAUGGCAAGUCAGAUGUGAAAGCCCUCGGCUUAACCGAGGAAGUGCGUCUGAAACUGCUGAGCUUGAGUGUCGGAGAGGAUGGCGGAAUUCCCAAGUAGAGGUGAAAUUCGUAGAUAUGCGGAGGAACACCGGUGGCGAAGGCGGCCAUUGGACGACUACUGACGCUGAGACGCGAAAGCGUGGGGAGCAAACAGGAUUANAUACCCUGGUAGUCCACGCUGUAAACGAUGAGAACUAGGUGUCGUGGGUGUUGACCCCCGCGGUGCCGCAGCUAACGCAUUAAGUUCUCCGCCUGGGAAGUACGGCCCGCAAGGCUAAAACUCAAAGGAAUUGACGGUGGCCCGCACAAGCGGUGGAGCAUGUGGUUUAAUUCGACGCAACGCGCAGAACCUUACCCAGACUUGACAUCUAUCAAACCCGGCCCAAAAGCUGGGGUGCCCGCAAGGGAAUGGUAAGACAGGUGCUGCAUGGCUGUCGUCAGCUCGUGUCGUGAGAUGUUGGGUUAAGUCCCGCAACGAGCGCAACCCUCGCCUUUAGUUGCUCCGCAAGGAGAUCUCUAGAGGGACCGCCAGUGAUAAGCUGGAGGAAGGUGGGGAUGACGUCAAGUCCUCAUGGCCUUUAUGUCUGGGGCUACACACGUGCUACAAUGGCGAGUACAAAGCGUUGCCAACCUGCGAAGGGGAGCUAAUCGCAUAAAACUCGUCUCAGUUCGGAUCGGAGUCUGCAACUCGGCUCCGUGAAGUCGGAAUCGCUAGUAAUCGCGGAUCAGCACGCCGCGGUGAAUACGUUCCCGGGCCUUGUACACACCGCCCGUCACACCAUGGGAGUCAAAUGCUCCAGAAGUCACCACACCACAGUGGUGCCCAAGGAGUG